CAAGAAAGACGUCCUUUUCUCCGGGAGCUGCAGGGGGACUGCAGGAGUCCAAAGCCUCGCUGUGUUUUAUGGGGAACAGUUAUUAAUAUUGGGUCAAAUAAUCCAGUAUUUCUUCACUCUGGUGCUGAAGGUCCGCUGCGCUGCUUUUUACUGUGUUUCCCCUUUACUCUGUUUUUAUUUAAAGCCCUCAGUCUUAAAACAGCGGCACUAGCGGGCCUCCAGCGGGCCUUCAGCACCGAUAGUGAUUAUUACCCUGCCGGAUUAGAUUAGAGCAGCGCGGCGGAGCUCUGUAAGUCCCGGUGAGUAAUUUAGUUAGCUGACUGUUUCAGCUCUCGGUGAAGCGCGGUCUUAUUAUGAUACUUAAACGGCGCUGGGUGUUUGUUUUGUUUCUGAACGAGCAGGUGACGCUGCAACUGGAUUUUAUAAAGAUAUGAGAAAAGAAUGCUUUCGUCGUGGAUUUAACAUGAAAAGGCCCAGUUCCAAAAGACACAACAUCCUCAGUGUCCUGGAGCUCCAGCUGAAGCACUGGCCACUCCACCUUCUCCAUCCCCACCCAAAAGAGGUACUUCUAAGGCAGCUAGUUGAAGGCGUGAUUGAGGUCCAUGCCAGAGGGGUUCUGCACUGUGACAUCAAGCCAUAGAACAUCCUGGUUCAGAUGUACAGUUAGGAACCACGCCUUCAUCUUCUGUUCUUCUGGACCUUCCUCAUGAGUGGUUUACCCAUGAGGCCAAAUCCUCCACAGUGUUGCAGAUAGGAAUCAUCCUGCUGUGUGUGAGAGGUGACCCUUCAACACCAGCACGGAGAUCACCUCAAAGAAGUCUCAGAUCAUCUCUCCACCAUCUGCUCUAUGACCCCUGGCUAAGUAUACACCACGACACAGCCACCACAUCAGGCACACCUCAGUCAGGUACCAUAUAAAACAAUAAUAAUGAUAAUUUUAAAAAAUCUAUAUUUUCAAUCUCUAGUUUAGAGAGUUCUCUAGUAGAGCUGGGCGAUUAAUCGAUUUUAUCGAUAAAUUCGAAUUUAUAGUUAAGGACAAUGUGUUUUUAUGAAAAUCGAUUUUCUCUGAGUUUUCUUUUUCACCACAGACGCUCCUCUGUGGGCACAGAGUGAGCUCAGCUAGCUCCCUCCAUACCUCCCUCCCUCCAGCGCGAGCACCCCCUGCCCCUCACUCCCUCCCUCCCUCCCUUGCACGCACAAACACACACGCACACACACACACACAUACACAAAACACAUAACACAUGACGGCGGAGCUUAAGAGCAACUAGCUCCGUGAUCUGGAGUUGGUUCGGUUUUGCGGCAUCUUCCAACCGUGUACCAGGUUUUGUAUGCACUACAAGUUAAGAUGUUUUGCAUAUUCAUGAGAAAAGAUCUCAUUUUAUAGAACACUGGCACUUAUUUAAAAGCUUUGUUUUGCAAUUCUAGCCCAAUAGGGAAAAGUAUUUACUUAAGAGCAUAUAAAUUGUACUUGUUUUCUAUUGUCUACUUUGUAAGUUUUAUCAAAAAAGGGCACCAUUUUAUUUAUUUCUAUUUGUUUUUAAGGGUGUGUUUAUUUAUUUAUUUAUUUUUUAAGUUUGAGGGUGCAUUGUGUCAGUACCUAAACUAUGUUGGAGAAAGCUUUCUAAAAGUCACUAGAUGUUUACACUAGACUCACUAGACUCACUGUUUACAAUAGUUUUUUUUGCUUGUUUCUGGUUGCACUUUAACCACAAAUGGAACAUUUUAAGUGAAAACAAAUUAAAUAAGAACUAGUUUUUAACCAUUUCUUUAUCAUCUUUAGUUUGAUUUUUAGUAGGGGGAAAAAAUCUAUUUAAAUCGAAAAUUGGAUUUAAUUUCGGCCAUAUCGCCCAGCUCUAUACUCUAGUUUAGAGGUUUUUUUAUAAAACACACCUAAGGAAAAUAGCAGGUAUUAAUAAAGCUAUUGAUUCCAUACUUUUAAAAAGGUAAUGAUUUUCUUUAACUAUAUAAAUGUUUUAAUCGUUUUGUGUAUUGUAUGCUUUUAAUUGCUUCCUGUUUUGUAUUUGUGUUCAUGUACUUAAGGCUUUAAUCCUUUUAUCUUGAUAUUGUUUAUCUUUUGAUGUUUAUUAAUUACUUAACUGUAUUUAUCUUUAUGUAGUAUACUGUUAGUGUUUUAAUCCAUACACUUUUUGUAUAUAUUUCUUUUAUUGCUUAGUUACUUGCUUUAUUAAUGAUUAUUGUAUUGGUGUUUUAGUCUUAUUUUGGGCUAAAAAACAUUUAAACAUUUGUAUUUUAGUGCUUUAAUAAAUUAAUAUUGUACUUACCUUUUACUAUUUUACUAUUAAUCUUUCUGUACUUAAUUAUACAUUAUUUUUUAUUUAUUUUUUUUAUAAAAUUAAAGGCGGGUUUAUUAAUUGUAUGUCUUUAUACGGGAUUUUAUAUUUGCAUUGUAUAUAUUUUUGUUUCAUUUAAUGUUUAUGCUCUUUGUCUUUUUCAGAUUUUUACAUUUUAAUUUGUGUAUUGACCCAAGGAGUAUGGGUUCCUCUCAAGGUUUCUAUCUCUCUUUGAGAGAAUUUUCUUUGCCGCUGUCUCCUUUGUGCUUACUCAAAAGAGGUUUGGACACUUUUUUUUUUUUUUUUUUUAACUGUUCUUAAUUUUGUUUGUUUCUUAACUUUGUCAAUAAAUGUUUUUUUAUUGCUAUCACUUUUGUCUGUUUAUUUGAUCACACUAUCGCUAAGUUUCUUGAAAUGUGUUUAUGGAAAAAAAAUAAUUUUAAUAUUUUAUUAAAUGUGGAUUUGAUG